UGAGGAAUAUUGCGCAAUGGGGGAAACCCUGACGCAGCGACGCCGCGUGAGUGAGGAAGGCCUUCGGGUCGUAAAGCUCUGUCAAGAGGAAAGAAGUGUACAAUGGCUAAUACCUGUUGUAUUUGACGGUACCUCUAAAGGAAGCACCGGCUAACUCCGUGCCAGCAGCCGCGGUAAUACGGAGGGUGCAAGCGUUGUUCGGAAUCACUGGGCGUAAAGGGCGCGUAGGCGGCUUGGUAAGUCAGAUGUGAAAGCCCACGGCUUAACUGUGGAAGUGCAUUUGAAACUGUCAGGCUUGAGUACCAGAGGGGAAAGUGGAAUUCCCGGUGUAGAGGUGAAAUUCGUAGAUAUCGGGAGGAAUACCGGUGGCGAAGGCGACUUUCUGGCUGGAUACUGACGCUGAGGCGCGAAAGCGUGGGGAGCAAACAGGAUUAGAUACCCUGGUAGUCCACGCUGUAAACGAUGUGAACUAGAUGCAGGGGGUGUUGAUCCCUUCUGUGUCGCAGCUAACGCAUUAAGUUCACCGCCUGGGGAGUACGGUCGCAAGAUUA
rnacentral:rRNA from 1 species